rnacentral:rRNA from 1 species
AGAGUUUGAUCCUGGCUCAGGAUGAACGCUAGCGACAGGCCUAACACAUGCAAGUCGAGGGGUAACAGGGAGCUUGCUCCGCUGACGACCGGCGCACGGGUGAGUAACGCGUAUGAAACCUACCUUUUACAGAGGAAUAGCCCAGAGAAAUUUGGAUUAAUGCCUCAUGGUUCUAUAAUGCCGCAUGGUAUAAUAGAUAAAGCUUCGGCGGUAAAAGAUGGUCAUGCGUGACAUUAGAUAGUUGGUGAGGUAACGGCUCACCAAGUCGACGAUGUCUAGGGGUUCUGAGAGGAAGGUCCCCCACACUGGUACUGAGACACGGACCAGACUCCUACGGGAGGCAGCAGUGAGGAAUAUUGGUCAAUGGGCGCAAGCCUGAACCAGCCAUGUCGCGUGAAGGAAGACGGUUCUAUGGAUUGUAAACUUCUUUUAUACGGGAAGAAACUUAGCUACGUGUAGCUAACUGCCGGUACCGUAUGAAUAAGCACCGGCUAACUCCGUGCCAGCAGCCGCGGUAAUACGGAGGGUGCGAGCGUUAUCCGGAUUUAUUGGGUUUAAAGGGUGCGUAGGCGGACUCAUAAGUCAGUGGUGAAAUCUUGCAGCUUAACUGUAAAACUGCCAUUGAUACUGUAAGUCUUGAAUUUAGUUGAGGUAGGCGGAAUGUGUUGUGUAGCGGUGAAAUGCUUAGAUAUCACGAAGAACUCCGAUUGCGAAGGCAGCUCACUGGAGCGCAACUGACGCUGAAGCUCGAAAGUGCGGGUAUCGAACAGGAUUAGAUACCCUGGUAGUCCGCACGGUAAACGAUGGAUGCCCGCUGUUGGUCUGAACAGGUCAGCGGCCAAGCGAAAGCAUUAAGCAUCCCACCUGGGGAGUACGCCGGCAACGGUGAAACUCAAAGGAAUUGACGGGGGCCCGCACAAGCGGAGGAACAUGUGGUUUAAUUCGAUGAUACGCGAGGAACCUUACCCGGGCUUGAAUUGCAGAGGAAGGAUUUGGAGACAAUGACGCCCUUCGGGGUCUCUGUGAAGGUGCUGCAUGGUUGUCGUCAGCUCGUGCCGUGAGGUGUCGGCUUAAGUGCCAUAACGAGCGCAACCCCUCUCCUUAGUUGCCAUCAGGUUAAGCUGGGCACUCUGGGGACACUGCCACCGUAAGGUGUGAGGAAGGUGGGGAUGACGUCAAAUCAGCACGGCCCUUACGUCCGGGGCUACACACGUGCUACAAUGGCAGGUACAGAGAGACGGUUGUACGUAAGUACGAUCAAAUCCUUAAAGCCUGUCUCAGUUCGGACUGGGGUCUGCAACCCGACCCCACGAAGCUAGAUUCGCUAGUAAUCGCGCAUCAGCCAUGGCGCGGUGAAUACGUUCCCGGGCCUUGUACACACCGCCCGUCAAGCCAUGAAAGCCGGGGGCGCCUAAAGUCCGUGACCGUAAGGAGCGGCCUAGGGCGAAACUGGUAAUUGGGGCUAAGUCGUAACAAGGUA